rnacentral:rRNA from 1 species
GAUGAACGCCGGCGGCGUGCCUAAUACAUGCAAGUCGAGCGAACGGACGAGAAGCUUGCUUCUCUGACGUUAGCGGCGGACGGGUGAGUAACACGUGGAUAACCUACCUAUAAGACUGGGAUAACUUCGGGAAACCGUAGCUAAUACCGGAUAAUAUUUUGAACCGCAUGGUUCAAUAGUGAAAGACGGUCUUGCUGUCACUUAUAGAUGGAUCCGCGCUGCAUUAGCUAGUUGGUAAGGUAACGGCUUACCAAGGCAACGAUGCAUAGCCGACCUGAGAGGGUGAUCGGCCACACUGGAACUGAGACACGGUCCAGACUCCUACGGGAGGCAGCAGUAGGGAAUCUUCCGCAAUGGGCGAAAGCCUGACGGAGCAACGCCGCGUGAGUGAUGAAGGUCUUCGGAUCGUAAAACUCUGUUAUUAGGGAAGAACAAAUGUGUAAGUAACUGUGCACGUCUUGACGGUACCUAAUCAGAAAGCCACGGCUAACUACGUG